UACAGAGGUGCUCAAGCGUUUGUUCGGAUUCAUUGGGCGUAAAGGGUGCGUAGGUGGCGCGGUAAGUCGGGUGUGAAAAUCUCGGAGCUUUAACUCCGAAAUUGCAUUCGAUACUGCCGUGCUCGAGGACUGGAGAGGAGACUGGAAUUCAUGGUGUAGCAGUGAAAAUGCGUAGAGAUCAUGAGGAAGACCAGUGGCGAAGGCGGGUCU
rnacentral:rRNA from 1 species